AGUGAACGCUGGCGGUAGGCCUAACACAUGCAAGUCGAACGGCAGCACAGUAAGAGCUUGCUCUUACGGGUGGCGAGUGGCGGACGGGUGAGGAAUGCAUCGGAAUCUACUUUUUCGUGGGGGAUAACGUAGGGAAACUUACGCUAAUACCGCAUACGACCUACGGGUGAAAGCAGGGGAUCUUCGGACCUUGCGCGAUUGAAUGAGCCGAUGUCGGAUUAGCUAGUUGGCGGGGUAAAGGCCCACCAAGGCGACGAUCCGUAGCUGGUCUGAGAGGAUGAUCAGCCACACUGUAACUGAGACACGGUCCAGACUCCUACGGGAGGCAGCAGUGGGGAAUAUUGGACAAUGGGCGCAAGCCUGAUCCAGCCAUACCGCGUGGGUGAAGAAGGCCUUCGGGUUGUAAAGCCCUUUUGUUGGGAAAGAAAAGCAGCAGGUUAAUACCCCGCUGUUCUGACGGUACCCAAAGAAUAAGCACCGGCUAACUUCGUG
rnacentral:rRNA from 1 species